ACAAGACUUCUUGGAAGGUGCAAGUGAGGGUUCUUCAUUCAUGGAAGACCUAUUCAACAAGGUUUGGUGAAACAUUCGAUAUGGUGCUCUCAGAUGUCCAAGGAACGAAGAUUCACGCUUCGGUCAAAGAAGAUUAGAUCAAUCGUUUUGAAAACAAGGUCGUCGCUGGGCAAUGGAAAACUGUCGAGAACUUUGGUUUGAGUAUCGCCACUGGUCAAUUCAAGCCAACGAACCAUCGUUUCAAAAUGUCUUUCAUCACUCAAACCAUUGUCAGUAGGAUAGAUUCUUUGUCUGAUGAUCCGUAUUUAACCCUCUCCCCAUUUGUUUCUGUCCUGUCCGGCAACCUGAAUGAGAACAAUUUGAUUGGUGAGUUUUUAUAUAUUAAGCAGCCACCUAUUUAAAGUAAUGUGCUAAUUCAAUGACAUAUUUUCAAAUAUUGUUGGUCAAAUUGUAAUUGCCAAUAUUCUAUUCGUUAAACGUUUUGGAGA